rnacentral:rRNA from 1 species
AUUGAACGCUGGCGGCAGGCCUAACACAUGCAAGUCGAACGGUAACAGGAAGAAGCUUGCUUCUUUGCUGACGAGUGGCGGACGGGUGAGUAAUGUCUGGGAAACUGCCUGAUGGAGGGGGAUAACUACUGGAAACGGUAGCUAAUACCGCAUAACGUCGCAAGACCAAAGAGGGGGACCUUCGGGCCUCUUGCCAUCGGAUGUGCCCAGAUGGGAUUAGCUUGUUGGUGGGGUAACGGCUCACCAAGGCGACGAUCCCUAGCUGGUCUGAGAGGUUGACCAGCCACACUGGAACUGAGACACGGUCCAGACUCCUACGGGAGGCAGCAGUGGGGAAUAUUGCACAAUGGGCGCAAGCCUGAUGCAGCCAUGCCGCGUGUAUGAAGAAGGCCUUCGGGUUGUAAAGUACUUUCAGCGGGGAGGAAGGGAGUAAAGUUAAUACCUUUGCUCAUUGACGUUACCCGCAGAAGAAGCACCGGCUAACUCCGUG